UACACACCGCCCGGCACACCAUGGGAGCGGGUGCUGCCAGAAGUAGUUAGCCUAACCGCAAGGAGGGCGAUUACCACGGCAGGGUUCGUGACUGGGGUG
rnacentral:rRNA from 1 species